rnacentral:lncRNA from 14 species
GAGGAAUCUCCACUGUGUCCCUAGACACCCCAUUGCAGACAUCUAUAUGGCUGGAGCAAAUACCCAAUCCUUAAGCAGCAAAACAAGCAACCAUGGAGCUGGUCCUACUCGGCCAGUUGUGCCCCGCGCUGCACUGUGGGAAGGGUGUACCAGGCUAAAUAUAUCUGCGUUGCCUGUGAAAUGCAGUAUGGGGUGCUGUGUCAUUUGGAGGAGUUUACUUGGAAACUAAGUGCCUAGCACACUGGGGACUCUUACUGUGGUGCAAGCCACACAUUGCAGAUUAAAGCUGUACAGCUUUGCCAGCAGAGAGCUCCUGAUACACCAGGGUCCUGAUUUGCACCAAGGGAUUCUAGAGGUCUGGGAUGUGCACUUCAUGCUGAUGGUAAUUAAAAUCUUCCAUAUUUGUCUCCCAGGACUCAGUUGUGAGUGUGAUGGCUGGGCACUGGGGUUUCUGGGGCUAACA